rnacentral:rRNA from 1 species
UUGUCCCAGCCGCCGCGGUAAUACGGAGGGUGCGAGCGUUAAUCGGAAUUACUGGGCGUAAAGCGCAUGCAGGUGGUUUGUUAAGUCAGAUGUGAAAGCCCGGGGCUCAACCUCGGAAUUGCAUUUGAAACUGGCAGACUAGAGUACUGCAGAGGGGGGUAGAAUUUCAGGUGUAGCGGUGAAAUGCGUAGAGAUCUGAAGGAAUACCGGUGGCGAAGGCGGCCCCCUGGACAGAUACUGACACUCAGAUGCGAAAGCGUGGGGAGCAAACAGGAUUAGAUACCCUGGUAGUCCACGCCGUAAACGAUGUCUACUUGGAGGUUGUGGCCUUGAGCCGUGGCUUUCGGAGCUAACGCGUUAAGUGGACCGCCUGGGGAGUACGGUCGCAAGAUUAAAACUCAAAUGAAUUGACGGGGGCCCGCACAAGCGGUGGAGGAUGUGGUUUAAUUCGAUGCAACGCGAAGAACCUUACCUACUCUUGACAUCCAGAGAACUUUUCAGAGAUGAAUUGGUGCCUUCGGGAACUCUGAGACAGGUGCUGCAUGGCUGUCGUCAGCUCGUGUUGUGAAAUGUUGGGUUAAGUCCCGCAACGAGCGCAACCCUUAUCCUUGUUUGCCAGCGAGUAAUGUCGGGAACUCCAGGGAGACUGCCGGUGAUAAACCGGAGGAAGGUGGGGACGACGUCAAGUCAUCAUGGCCCUUACGAGUAGGGCUACACACGUGCUACAAUGGCGCAUACAGAGGGCAGCCAACUUGCGAGAGUGAGCGAAUCCCAAAAAGUGCGUCGUAGUCCGGAUCGGAGUCUGCAACUCGACUCCGUGAAGUCGGAAUCGCUAGUAAUCGUGGAUCAGAAUGCCACGGUGAAUACGUUCCCGGGCCUUGUACACACCGCCCGUCACACCAUGGGAGUGGGCUGCAAAAGAAGUAGGUAGUUUAACCUUCGGGAGGACGCUUACCACUUUGUGGUUCAUGACUGGGGUGAAGUCGUAACAAGGUAACC